GUGAGGAAUAUUGGUCAAUGGGCGCAAGCCUGAACCAGCCAUGCCGCGUGCAGGAUGACGGUCCUAUGGAUUGUAAACUGCUUUUGCACAGGAAGAAACACUACCUCGUGAGGUAGCUUGACGGUACUGUGAGAAUAAGGAUCGGCUAACUCCGUGCCAGCAGCCGCGGUAAUACGGAGGAUCCAAGCGUUAUCCGGAAUCAUUGGGUUUAAAGGGUCCGUAGGCGGUCUAAUAAGUCAGUGGUGAAAGCCCUACGCUCAACGUAGGAACGGCCAUUGAUACUGUUAGACUUGAAUUACUUGGAAGUAACUAGAAUAUGUAGUGUAGCGGUGAAAUGCUUAGAGAUUACAUGGAAUACCAAUUGCGAAGGCAGGUUACUACAAGUGGAUUGACGCUGAUGGACGAAAGCGUGGGUAGCGAACAGGAUUAGAAACCCCAGUAGUCC
rnacentral:rRNA from 1 species